GUAAUGAUUAUAUCACCUAUCUCUACAUAACAGAGCUGGUGCUUCAAGGAUCAAAUGAGAUUAUGUACGUGAAAUCACCUUGAAAAGGACCAUGAAUGUAAGACACAAUUGCAGCUGCUGUGAAGCAAAUUUUGGAACAAUGGAUUGAUUCGUUGUAUAAAAGGGGUCAUGAUCUUUCCUUCCAUAAAGAAGGAUCAGGCCAAGAUGCAGAGACAAGGGACCUAUGCUGUGAACCAUUUCACAAGAAAGGAAUGGAGGCAUUGUAUGGGCCCCUCCUUGAGGGAAACAAGCAUGAGGCAGGUCAGGAAAAGAAGGAAAGAGGCAGAACUUCCAAAGAACAGAUCAAAGAAAGGACCUGGAAACAUCCCUCCAGCACCUCUAAAGGAGCUCUGCUCAAUUCAGGCAAGUAAUUUCUUAAAAUGGCUUAAUGGCAAAAGCAG
rnacentral:lncRNA from 10 species